rnacentral:lncRNA from 1 species
ACCAAACAGUUUUUAAUUACAGUAAUUGACUAUGUUUAGUCGUUUAGAUAAAGGACAAAUCUUUCCACGUAUCCCUAACUACCUCCCAAAAAAAAGAAACGAAUUUGAGCAUUUAACUACGGUUACAAUGUUUCAUGCGUUAACCAAAAAAAAAAAAAGAGUUAUGCAACGGACAAUGCACAAAAGUUAUCGAAAUAUGGUCAACUAGUUUUAUAGCUCGUCCAAUUACAAGCUGUCAAGAUAUCGAAAGACUGAAUUUUC